CCUACGGGUGGCAGCAGUGGGGAAUAUUGGGCAAUGGAGGCAACUCUGACCCAGCAACGCCGCGUGAAUGAUGAAGGUCUUCGGAUUGUAAAGUUCUUUUCUAAGGGAAGAAGAAAGUUACGGUACCUUAGGAAUAAGCCUCGGCUAACUACGUGCCAGCAGCCGCGGGAAUACGUAGGAGGAAAGCGUUUACCGGAAUGACUGGGCGUAUAAGGUGCGAAGGUGGUUUGACAAGUUGGUACCGUAACGCCGGAGCUAAAAUUGGGAACUACUACCACAACUGUUGGACUCGAGUGCAGGAGGGGCCACUGGAAUUGCUAGUGUAGCGGUGGAAUGCGUAGAUAUUAGGAAGAACACCAGUGGCGAAGGCGAGUGUCUGGACUGUAACUGACACUGAGGCACGAAAGCGUGGGGAGCAAACAGGAUUAGAUACCCUUGUAGUC
rnacentral:rRNA from 1 species